CCUACGGGAGGCAGCAGUCGAGGAUAGUCUACAAUGGCCGAAAGGCUGAUAGUGCGACGCCGCGUGAACGAGGAAGCAUUUCGGUGUGUAAAGUUCUUUUCCAUAUGAGCAGGGUAUCCCUGGUUAAGAGCGAGGGGUGCUUGAUAUUAGUAUGGGAAUAAGCCACGGCUAACUCCGUGCCAGCAGCCGCGGUAAU
rnacentral:rRNA from 1 species